rnacentral:rRNA from 1 species
ACUCAAAGGAAUAGACGGGGGCCCGCACAAGCGGUGGAGUAUGUUGUUUAAUUCGAAGCAACGCGAAGAACCUUACCAGGUCUUGACAUGGUCCUAAAGGCCCUAGAGAUAGGGAGAUAGUUAUAGGACACACAGGUGGUGCAUGGUUGUCGUCAGCUCGUGUCGUGAGAUGUUGGGUUAAGUCCCGCAACGAGCGCAACCCUUGUCGUUAGUUACCAUCAUUAAGUUGGGGACUCUAGCGAGACUGCCGGUGACAAACCGGAGGAAGGUGGGGAUGACGUCAAAUCAUCAUGCCCCUUAUGACCUGGGCUACAAACGUACUACAAUGGCGAGAACAACGGGAAGCAAUGUGGUGACACAAAGCGAAUCUCUUAAAACUCGUCUCAGUUCGGAUCGAAGUCUGCAACUCGACUUCGUGAAGUUGGAAUCGCUAGUAAUCGCGGAUCAGCAUGCCGCGGUGAAUACGUUCUCGGGCCUUGUACACACCGCCCGU